UCGAAUCCUUCGUCGUUCCUUCCUGUAACUUUGAGUGAAACGCAAGUUCUUAUGUCUUCUACUAGUCCGCCCGUUUCAGUUGUCACUAUUCGCAGUGAAACACCCGAACUACCAACCCCUGAAACUGGACAAUGAGGAACGGAAAAUGGAGUAUUGACGUCGUCGGAUUCUGCAUCCGCUUCCAUUUUCAAUGAACAAAAGCGGAAGCAGUGUAUCGAAAGUAAAACAAGUACGAAAAAAACGCGCUAUUUCAAAAAAUGUUGCCUCAACGAAACAGACACAGCGGAAGUCAACAAGAACACCAAAAUCAAAAUUGUUCAACUGAGACGGCUUAAAAUUUGUACAAUCAAUUAUUGUACACUGAAAUAAAAAUAAAUUUCACCAAU